rnacentral:rRNA from 1 species
UACGUAGGGUGCAGGCGUUAAUCGGAAUUACUGGGCGUAAAGCGUGCGCAGGCGGUCUGCUAAGAGAGGUGUGAAAUCCCCGGGCUUAACCUGGGAACUGCGCUUCUAACUGGCAGGCUAGAGUGUGGCAGAGGGGGGUGGAAGUCCACGUGUGAGCAGUGAAAUGACGUAGAGAUGUGGAGGAACACCGAUGGCGAAGGCAGCCCCCUGGGCUAACACUGACGCU